GAAUACAGAAUGUGGGCAAACUCGCUUCUGUGCCGGCCGCCAGAAGGUUUGCUGAGGGCAAUCACUCCCUGGUGCCGGGCUCCUUGAGGUUAUGCACUGGGACAUCUAGAGCCUAUUGUUUGAGGAAUGCAGUCUUGCAAGCCUGCUCUGGAUCAAGCCACAGACUGAAACACCCCCGAAGAGCAAGCACGUUUCUUGGAGCAGGCUAAGUGUGAGUGUCAUAUCUUCAAUGGGAUGAAGCGGGUGCAGUACCUGAACAGAUACAUCCAUAAACGGGAGGAGAACCUGCGCUUCGACAGCAACGUGGAGGAGUUCCAGGCAGUUACGGAACUGGGGCGGCCUGUCGCAGAGAACUGGAACAGCCAGAAGGGCAUCCCGGAGGAGAAGCGGGACAAGAUGGACGACUACUGCAGAUACAAUUACGGGGUUUUUUGAGAGCUUCACAGUGCAGCCGCGAGUCCAUCCUAAGGUGACUGUGUAUCCUGCAAAGACCCAGCCCCUGCAUCACCGCAACCCCCUGGUCGGCUCUGUGAGUGGUUUCUAUCCAGGCAGCAUUAAAGUCAGGUGGUUCCAGAAUGGUCAGGAAGAGAAGGCUGCGGUGGUCUCCAUAGGCCUGAUCCAGAAUGGAGAUUGGACCUUCCAGACCCUGGUGAUGCUGGAAACAGUUCCUCGGAGUGGAGAGGUUUACACCUGCCAAGUGGAGCAUCCAAGCGUGACGAGCCCUCUCACAGUGGAAUGGAGUACACGGACUGAAUCUGCACAGAGCAAGAUGCUGAGUGGAGUCGGGGGCUUUGUGCUGGGCCUGCUCUUCCUUGGGACAGGGCUGUUCAUCUACUUCAGGAAUCAGAAAGGACACUCUGGACUUCAGCCAACAGGACUCCUGCGCUGGACUCCUGAGCUGAAGUGCACAUGACCACAUUCAAGGAAGAACCUUCUGCCACAGCUUUGCAGGAUGAAAAGCUUUCCCACUUGGCUCUUAUUCUUCCACAAGAGCUCUCUCAGGACCAGGUUGUUACUCGUUCAGCAACUCUGCAGAAAAUGCCCUCCCUUGUGGCUUCCUCAGCUCCUGUUCUUGGCCUGAAACCCCACAGCCUUGAUGGCAGCGCCUCGUCUUCAACUUUUGUGCUUCCUUUUACCUAAAUUUUCCUGCCUCCCCUGGGUCUGUAUUCCCCUUGUGCCACAAACACAUUGCAUUAUUCAAUGUUUCUCAAACAUGGAGUUAAAAAUUAUCUGGU
ensembl:lncRNA HLA-DRB6 major histocompatibility complex, class II, DR beta 6 (pseudogene)